GUAGGCGGUUUACCAAGCAAGGCAUGAAAUAGUGUGGCUCAACCAUACUGCUAUGUUUUGAGCUGGUAGACUAGAGGAUGAGAGAGGUUAUUGGAAUUCCAAGUGUAGGAGUGAAAUCCGUAGAUAUUUGGAGGAACACCGAUGGCGUAGGCAGAUAACUGGCUCAUUCCUGACGCUCAGGCACGAAAGCGUGGGUAGCAAACGGGAUUAGAUACCCCGGUAGUCCACGCCGUAAACUAUGGAUGCUAGCUGUACACCGUAUCGACCCGAUGUGUAGCGAAGCUAACGCGUUAAGCAUCACGCCUGUGGAGUACGAGCGCAAGCUUAAAACAUAAAGGAAUUGACGGGGACCCGCACAAGCGGUGGAGCGUGUUGUUUAAUUCGAUGGUAAGCGAAGAACCUUACCAAGGCUUGAAAUCCUGAGAAGCACUGCGAAAGCAGAGUGUGCCUUCGGGAACUCAGUGACAGGUGCUGCAUGGCCGUCGUCAGCUCGUGUCGUGAGAUGUUGGGUUAAGUCCCGCAACGAGCGCAACCCCUAUGUUUAGUUGAAUUUUUCUAAACAGACUGCCCUGGUAACAGGGAGGAAGGAGGGGAUGAUGUCAGGUCAGUAUUACCCUUACGCCUUGGGCUACAAACACGCUACAAUGGCCAGUACAAAGGGUAGCCAAGUCGCGAGACGGAGCAAAUCCCAUCAAAACUGGUCUCAGUUCGGAUAGCAGGCUGAAACUCGCCUGCUUGAAGCUGGAAUCGCUAGUAAUGGUAAGUCAGCACAUUACCGUGAAUACGUUCCCGGGUCUUGUACACACCGCCCGUCAAACCAUGAAAGUGGCCAACACCCGAAGUCCGAUUUAUCGGCCUAAGGUGGGGGACAUGAUUGGGGUU
rnacentral:rRNA from 1 species